AAACAAUAUUGUUCUUUACAGAUUAAUUGUUGCUUUACGCUAUGUAGGCACAGGGCUCACAUUAAAAAGGCAAAUGGCAGUUUUCACAUUGUCUAGAAGCUAUGGAUGGAAACAUGGUGAACUUUCAACCUCUCAGAAGGGAUACUAUAGAAAUUAUAAAGGAACUGACGGCCAUUACUUUUUGCUGUAUUAUAUUAUGCAGAUGGUCAAUUUCUUAUUGCAGAUAUAAGAAGAAAUGAUCCAAAUAUAUCAGAUUUGAAUUUCAGAUUUUUUAAUAGCUAUUGGUGCAGUUAGCAACAUUCGGCUGUGAAUAAGUUUAAAAUGUAAAUUAUUUUAGUGCGUUUUUAGUUAAACCUUAUUGUAUAUUUGAAGAUUUACAAUUAUUAUUACACUGAUAAUUAAUAUAA